AGCGAACGCUGGCGGCAGGCCUAACACAUGCAAGUCGAACGGAUCCUUCGGGAUUAGUGGCGGACGGGUGAGUAACACGUGGGAACGUGCCUUUUGGUUCGGAACAACUCAGGGAAACUUGAGCUAAUACCGGAUGUGCCCUUCGGGGGAAAGAUUUAUCGCCAUUAGAGCGGCCCGCGUCUGAUUAGCUUGUUGGUGAGGUAAAGGCUCACCAAGGCUACGAUCAGUAGCUGGUCUGAGAGGAUGAUCAGCCACACUGGGACUGAGACACGGCCCAGACUCCUACGGGAGGCAGCAGUGGGGAAUCUUGCGCAAUGGGCGAAAGCCUGACGCAGCCAUGCCGCGUGAAUGAUGAAGGUCUUAGGAUUGUAAAAUUCUUUCACCGGGGACGAUAAUGACGGUACCCGGAGAAGAAGCCCCGGCUAACUCCGUGCCAGCAGCCGCGGUAAAAC
rnacentral:rRNA from 1 species